CAAAUUCAACAUGGCAGGUUCUUUCAACAAUUUCUAAUUGGAGUACUCAUCCAGGGAUUCGUCACAAGCAGGUUUCUUGCAUCGAUUGGAGGCAGUUCCCCAGGCGUCCGCAACAAUGCAU